AUUGAACGCUGGCGGCAUGCUUUACACAUGCAAGUCGAACGGUAACAGGCCUUCGGGUGCUGACGAGUGGCGAACGGGUGCGUAAUGCAUCGGAACGUACCCAGAGGUGGGGGAUAACGCAGCGAAAGCUGUGCUAAUACCGCAUGUGAUCUGAGGAUGAAAGCGGGGGACCGCGCAGCAAUGUUUGGCCUCGCGCCUUUGGAGCGGCCGAUGUCGGAUUAGCUAGUUGGUGGGGUAAAGGCCUACCAAGGCGACGAUCCGUAGCUGGUCUGAGAGGACGAUCAGCCACACUGGGACUGAGACACGGCCCAGACUCCUACGGGAGGCAGCAGUGGGGAAUUUUGGACAAUGGGCGCAAGCCUGAUCCAGCAAUGCCGCGUGCGGGAAGAAGGCCUUCGGGUUGUAAACCGCUUUUGGCAGGAACGAAACGGUGUCCGCUAAUACCGGGCGCUAAUGACGGUACCUGCAGAAUAAGCACCGGCUAACUACGUG
rnacentral:rRNA from 1 species